CCUUGCCAGCCCGCUCAGAAACUCAAAGGAAUUGACGGGGGCCCGCACAAGCGGUGGAGCAUGUGGUUUAAUUCGAUGAUACGCGAGGAACCUUACCUGGGCUCAAAUGUAUGUUGACGUAUUCUGAAAGGGAUACUUCUUCGGACAAUAUACAAGGUGCUGCAUGGUUGUCGUCAGCUCGUGCCGUGAGGUGUCGGGUUAAGUCCCAUAACGAGCGCAACCCCUAUCAUUAGUUGCCAUCAGGUCAAGCUGGGGACUCUAAUGAAACUGCCUACGCAAGUAGUGAGGAAGGUGGGGAUGACGUCAAAUCAGCACGGCCCUUACGUCCAGGGCUACACACGUGCUACAAUGGCCGGUACAAAGGGCAGCUACCUGGUGACAGGAUGCUAAUCUCAAAAGCCGGUCUCAGUUCGGAUCGGAGUCUGCAACCCGACUCCGUGAAGUUGGAUUCGCUAGUAAUCGCGCAUCAGCCAUGGCGCGGUGAAUACGUUCCCGGGCCUU
rnacentral:rRNA from 1 species